GGAUGUGAGGAUGAUCUGGUUGCAAGGUCUGCCACCCCACUGACCACCGGGGUUGAUGCAGCUGAUCUGGCCGGCUAGGCAGGUAUCCCCUUCCUCCCUCACCGCCGCAUGUGUGUCCCUCCCGAAGCUGUGUGCUCUGUCAGAGAGGACGACCACCACCGACAGAGAAGAACUAUUUCCUCCGUCAAGGGUAUACAAGUAACUGUGCUUCCUGCUAGAACCUCCAAAUAAGCUCUCAGAAAAUAUGCACUGAGUUACAAAAACACAUUUAAAACAGAAGCAAUUUUUU
rnacentral:snRNA from 1 species